rnacentral:rRNA from 1 species
CGGCACGGGUGAGUAACACGUAUGGAACCUGCCCUAUGCAGGGGGAUAAGCGGAAGAAAUUCCGUCUAAUACCGCAUAACACCAUUUGGAGACAUCUCCGGGUGGUCAAAGGAGGCGACUCCGGCAUAGGAUGGGCAUGCGUCGCAUUAGCUAGUCGGCGGGGUAACGGCCCACCGAGGCGACGAUGCGUAGGGGUUCUGAGAGGAAGGUCCCCCACACUGGUACUGAGACACGGACCAGACUCCUACGGGAGGCAGCAG